UACGGAGGGAGCUAGCGUUGUUCGGAAUUACUGGGCGUAAAGCGCACGUAGGCGGCUUUGUAAGUUAGAGGUGAAAGCCCGGGCUCAACCCCGGAAUUGCCUUUAAGACUGCAUCGCUUGAAUCCGGGAGAGGUGAGUGGAAUUCCGAGUGUAGAGGUGAAAUUCGUAGAUAUUCGGAAGAAACACCAGUGGCGAAGGCGGCUCACUGGACCGGGUAUUGACGCUGAGGUG
rnacentral:rRNA from 1 species